UCUUCUUCCUCCCGGGUUCUGCGAGCUUCAUCAGCUCGCCUUCAUUCUCACCCGGCUCAUCUCGUUCCGCGUUCUCUCGGUCCUUGCGGCCAUUCUUGUGGCCCAGAGUUUUGUCUCCCCGUUGUGUCCCCUCGUCUGUUGUCUUGUGUGUCACGGGUGUCUGGGUGUAGUUGUCCCGGAGCUGCUCUGUCCUGCUGCCCAGCCUGGGUGUAGGUGUAAAAGGCCGAGUCCCAGGCCCCUGUAAUUUGGCAUUUGUAAUGUAGGGUGUAGUUGGAGUCUAGCGGGUGUUCCUAGAUUGACACAAGAUGUCAGGAGCUGUGAAGUUACCCUGCAGCACUUUGACUUUUGUCUCAGCUUUCUUUCAGAUGCACACGGAUGAAAUCGGUGGCAGAGCGCCCCAUCCAGGGUAAGGGGGUUCCCCCGAGAAGGUAAGUCAAUGUUUGUCUUUGCAGGGCAACUGGAACCGGUCACUGUGUGACAGGUCUCCUCUUUGUCUUUAUUUUUAGGAAGUGAAGCCGGCUAGCAGCAGUCAAGGCAAAGCGGGCAAGGCGGUCCAGUCGCAUUUCGCCGAGAUCCCCUCGCCAACCAACCGGCCGGCACAGCUGUUUCGCCGCUCCCGUGAGCCCUGCGGAAGCGUUACAGGACUGUGUGAUGAAGCCUUGGCCUUUUCCACGUAAAGGGGCCGUGUGGGUGGCCUUCAGGAAGGGGCCGAGGGGUUGCCGCGCGCCCUGCGAUGACGGCGUCCGGCUCCCGGCGUGGCCGAAGCGCGCGGCCUCAGG